rnacentral:rRNA from 1 species
GUAGGGUGCAAGCGUUGUCCGGAAUUAUUGGGCGUAAAGAGCUCGUAGGCGGUCUGUCGCGUCGGCUGUGAAAACUCGGGGCUCAACCCCGAGCCUGCAGUCGAUACGGGCAGACUAGAGUGCGGUAGGGGAGACUGGAAUUCCUGGUGUAGCGGUGAAAUGCGCAGAUAUCAGGAGGAACACCGGUGGCGAAGGCGGGUCUCUGGGCCGUAACUGACGCUGAGGAGCGAAAGCGUGGGGAGCAAACAGGAUUAGAUACCCUGGUAGUCCACGCCGUAAACGGUGGGUGCUAGGUGUAGGUCGUAUUCCACGCGAUCUGUGCCGCAGCUAACGCAUUAAGCACCCCGCCUGGGGAGUACGGCCGCAAGGCUA